UGCCAGCCGCCGCGGUAAUACAGAGGGUGCAAGCGUUAAUCGGAAUUACUGGGCGUAAAGCGUGCGUAGGCGGACUGGAAAGUUGGGUGUGAAAUCCCUCGGCUCAACCGAGGAAUUGCGCCCAAAACUGCCAGGCUUGAGGAAGAUAGAGGUGAGCGGAACUCUUGGUGGAGCGGUGAAAUGCGUUGAUAUCAGGGGGAACACCGGUGGCGAAAGCGGCUCACUGGGUCUUUUCUGACGCUGAGGUACGAAAGCUAGGGGAGCGAACGGGAUUAGAUA
rnacentral:rRNA from 1 species